rnacentral:lncRNA from 1 species
CCUCACUAAAAAAGACCUACAGCUUGGACAAAAGUCUAUAGCCAGUGCAUUCCUAGCUCCCCUUGCACUAAGGCAGGCUGAGGCAGAGGGGAAGACAUUUUAGUCUUGUGCUCUUCUAGUUGCUAAAGCGUUGGGCUGCCGAGCUGUGGGAGUCAUGAGGCGGCCCUGCUUCACUCGAUAUGGGCUCAUGGGGAGAGAACCAUGGAUGUGCAGGUCUAGGCCCUUAGAGCAGUGAGGGGGAAAGGGGUAGCGAGCAAAACACCAGCGUUCAGCGACCAGCUUGAGCGGUGGUACGCUGAAGUAAGAGCACUGGCUUUUGGAAAAAUCUGCGGACUACCGGGCGAGCAAAGAGAGAGAGACAGCCUACCGCUGUGUCGGUCGAGCAGAGAGCGGGAUCUCCGGCGGCUGAAGUGUGGUUCUUGAAUCGGCCAGAUACUGUUCCAUCCUCUUUUCUGCCAAUCAAGCAAAGAUGAGGACAACACCCAAACUGGCACGUAAGUAGCAUUACAGUCAAGAGUGGUUCGGGGACAGUGAAAAGCAGGCUGCGCCUAUAUGCAGUGCACUGCAGUGUGAUAGAGUAUCGCGUUA